rnacentral:rRNA from 1 species
CCUACGGGAGGCAGCAGUGAGGAAUAUUGGUCAAUGGACGAGAGCCUGAACCAGCCAAGUAGCGUGAAGGAUGACUGCCCUACGGGUUGUAAACUUCUUUUAUAUGGGAAUAAAACAGGGUAUGCAUACCCUCUUGUAUGUACCAUAUGAAUAAGGAUCGGCUAACUCCGGGCCAGCAGCCGCGGUAAUACGGAGGAUCCGAGCGUUAUCCGGAUUUAUUGGGUUUAAAGGGAGCGUAGGUGGAUUGUUAAGUCAGUUGUGAAAGUUUGCGGCUCAACCGUAAAAUUGCAGUUGAAACUGGCAGUCUUGAGUACAGUAGAGGUAGGCGGAAUUCGUGGUGUAGCGGUGAAAUGCUUAGAUAUCACGAAGAACUCCGAUUGCGAAGGCAGCUCACUGGACUGCAACUGACACUGAUGCUCGAAAGUGUGGGUAUCAAACAGGAUUAGAUACCCUUGUAGUC